rnacentral:rRNA from 1 species
GAUGAACGCUAGCGGCAGGCUUAAUACAUGCAAGUCGUGGGGCAGCAGGAAGUAGCAAUACUUUGCAGGCGACCGGCAAACGGGUGCGUAACACGUACGCAACUUUCCCUUUACUGGAAGAUAGCCCACCGAAAGGUGGAUUAAUAUUCCAUAUUAUAAUGAGACGGCAUCGUUUUAUUAUCAAAGCUCAGGCGGUAAAGGAUGGGCGUGCGGCUGAUUAGAUAGUUGGCGGGGUAACGGCCCACCAAGUCUACGAUCAGUAGCUGAUGUGAGAGCAUGGUCGGCCACACGGGCACUGAGACACGGGCCCGACUCCUACGGGAGGCAGCAGUAAGGAAUAUUGGUCAAUGGAGGCAACUCUGAACCAGCCAUGCCGCGUGAAGGAUGAAGGUCCUCUGGAUUGUAAACUUCUUUUAUAUGGGACGAAACACUUUCUUUCUAGAGAGCUUGACGGUACCAUAGGAAUAAGCACCGGCUAACUCCGUGCCAGCCGCCGCGGUAA